AUGGCCGGACGAGAUGACCUGAAGCUGCUCGGCACAUGGCCAAGCCCGUUUGUUACCAGGGUGAAGCUGGCACUCGCCCUGAAGGGCCUGAGCUACGAGGACGUGGAGGAGGACCUGUACAAGAAGAGCGAGCUUCUCCUCAAGUCCAACCCGGUGCACAAGAAGAUACCAGUGCUCAUCCACAACGGCGCCCCGGUCUGCGAGUCCAUGAUCAUUCUGCAGUACAUCGACGAAGUGUUCGCCGGCACCGGCCCGUCCCUUCUCCCAGCGGACCCCUACGAGCGCGCCAUUGCUCGCUUCUGGAUGGCCUACGUUGACGACAAGCUGGUAGCCCCAUGGAGGCAGUGGUUGAGGGGCAAGACAGAGGAGGAGAAAUCCAAGGGAAAGAAGCAGGCGUUCGCGGCGGUGGAGAUUCUUGAAGGAGCCCUGAGGGAAUGCUCCAAGGGAGGGGGCUUCUUCGGCGGCGACGGCGUAGGGCUCGUCGACGUAGCGCUGGGAGGCGUGCUGUCGUGGAUGAAAGUGACCGAGGUUUUAUUCCGAGCCACUGCGCUGAUCCGUAUGUGGUCGUUACUCACUCCGACGGAGGCCAACGAGCGUUUGUUACUGGAUCUAUCUGGUGGGAGAUGGUAG
rnacentral:rRNA from 1 species